rnacentral:rRNA from 1 species
GAACAAACGCUGGCGGCGUGUCUUAAGCAUGCAAGUUGAGCGGCAAGGAGGAGAGAUCCUCCCUAGAGCGGCGGACUGGUGAGUAACGCGUGGGUAAUCUAUCGUAGGCAUGGGGAUAGUCACUAGAAAUAGUGGGUAAUACCGAAUACGUUCCAUGAGGGGAGUAUUCAUGGAAGAAAGGGUGCUACGGCACUGGCCUUAGGUGAGCUCGCGUCCCAUUAGCCAGUUGGUGAGGUAAAGGCCCACCAAGGCGAUGAUGGGUAGCCGGCCUGAGAGGGUGUACGGCCACACUGGGACUGAGAUACGGCCCAGACUCCUACGGGAGGCAGCAGCUAAGAAUAUUCCGCAAUGGACGAAAGUCUGACGGAGCGACGCCGCGUGGAUGAAGAAGGCCGAAAGGUUGUAAAGUUCUUUUGCUAGGGGAGAAUAAGUGAGGGAGGGAAUGCCCUCAUGAUGACAAGGACUAGCGAAUAAGCAACGGCUAACUCCGUGCCAGCAGCCGCGGUAACACGGGGGUUGCGAGCGUUGUCCGGAAUUACUAGGCGUAAAGGGCAGGUAGGCGGAUCUACGAGUUUUUUGUUAAAGGCUACGGCUCAACUGUAGUAGAGCAGGAGAUACUGUAGGUCUGGAAUGCGGUAGGGGAAGACAGAAUUCCUGGUGUAGCGGUGGAAUGCGCAGAGAUCAGGAGGAAUACCGAAGGCGAAGGCAGUCUUCUAGGCCGUAAUUGACGCUUAACUGCGAAGGUGUGGGGAUCAAACAGGAUUAGAUACCCUGGUAGUCCACACAGUAAACGAUAAUCACUAGAUGUCGGGUUCUAGAUGGAUUCGGUGUCGGAGCAAACGCGAUAAGUGAUUCGCCUGGGGAGUACGAUCGCAAGGUUGAAACUCAAAGGAAUUGACGGGGGCCCGCACAAGCGGUGGAGCAUGUGGUUUAAUUCGAGGCAACGCGAAGAACCUUACCCGGUUUUGACAUCCACGGGAGGCUUCAGAGAUGGAGCUGUGCCGGCGUAAGCUGGAGCCGUGAGACAGGUGCUGCAUGGCUGUCGUCAGCUCGUGUCGUGAGAUGUUGGGUUAAGUCCCGCAACGAGCGCAACCCUUGCCUUCAGUUACCAUCAUUAAGUUGGGGACUCUGGAGGGACCGCUGCGGUAACAACGCAGAGGAAGAUGGGGACGACGUCAAGUCAUCAUGGUCCUUAUGGCCGGGGCUACACACGUGCUACAAUGGCAGUUACAGAGGGAAGCGAUUCAGUAAUGAGGAGCGAAACUCAGAAAAGCUGCCGCAGUUCGGAUUGAGGUCUGCAACUCGGCCUCAUGAAGUCGGAAUCGCUAGUAAUCGCGCAACAUCAUGGCGCGGUGAAUACGUUCCCGGGCCU